CGACUGGGUUCAGUGGUAGAAUGCUCGCCUGCCAUGCGGACGGCCCGAGUUCGAUACUCGGCCGAUGA